UACAGAGGUCUCAAGCGUUGUUCGGAUUCAUUGGGCGUAAAGGGUGCGUAGGCGGCGCGGUAAGUCGGGUGUGAAAUCUCGGAGCUUAACUCCGAAACUGCAUUCGAUACUGCCGUGCUUGAGGACUGGAGAGGAGACUGGAAUUUACGGUGUAGCAGUGAAAUGCGUAGAGAUCGUAAGGAAGACCAGUGGCGAAGGCGGGGUCUCUGGACAGUUCCUGACACUGAGGCACGAAAGCUAGGGGAGCAAACAGG
rnacentral:rRNA from 1 species